AGCUGAAUUUCAGUGUCUAAAAUCAAUUCUAUUUAUCAGUUUGUGUAGGGUUAGAAAAAUAGAAUAGGUUGUACUGAUUGUACUAACUACUAAUCAAUCUAAGGAUUUCUUAAUUAUUCUUUUGAGCAUAAGCACCGAACGGAUUUUUCUUCUCUAGGUGAGAAACUGGAACACAUCAGUUUCGAAACUAUAUUUUCUUCCCUCCAUUUCUGCAUAUAAUAAUGGUGUUAUGUUCAAACUUAUGCAAUCCGCCACUUAUUAGCGUUGUUGCCCAAGCCCUGGGAAUAAGAAGUCGUCAGGUCUCCAAGUCUCAAAAGUGUACGGACCUAGGGAAAUUGCUUUCCUAAGGAAAACGCAACUAAGAACAAAAGACAAAAGCGGCCGUGAUUGCGGAAUUACAGCAAGGUUACCAGGGACUACACAAAUCUUUAUAAGGUCCGAUUUGGAUGAACGUAAACGUCUGAAAGUAGUUUCAAAUACUAAAAUUGGGUGAUGAACGUAUUCCAUUGUUUCUGAUCAUUUUAGCCUGCCUAUCCUCUCUGUUAUAUGACCUUUCGCACGCAUCAAGGCUUUUCACAAAUUUAAGUUAUGUGUUUAAGCGCCUGCCUCUCCCUACUUAUAUCCUUGAUGUUUUGCGAUGAACAUUUAGAAAUGCCUUGGCAAUCACUUUUACAUAAGUAGAAACUUGAAAAGUAGAAUGGGAAAAGUUUACAUUUUGGAAAUUAUCAAUUAAAUGAUGAUCGAGGAUGAUCGUUUCUGGGCGAACUUUUCUUUUUGAAGUUUGGUUGCCGUUCAUUUAGCUUAUCUAGCUAUUUUGAUCUGCUGGACACGUUACGUUAAUUCAGAGGUUGGUCUGUGCGAGUGCCUCUCCCUGCUUAUAGCCUUAUACUACGCUCUACCAAAAUGAUAGGAAACACUAGACAUUCUUAUAUAAACUAUUUUAAACUUAGAAAUAUUUGAUCUUACCUUAUGCGUCUGAAGGCGAGUAAUCAUUAAAAUGUAUGAUGUCAUCUUGAAGUCUGUACGGUUUUGAAUCUGUAAUUUGGCCGAUUCCCAUGAUUUUGGAUUGUCUAUCCUCGAUCGUUCUGCCUCUGAGUGGUUAGACCUGACCGUGGCCAGAAUACAAUUCCUUACUUCAAGGGAAAGUCAAGAGUACACUAUCCAAAGUUGACAUCGUGGAGGGGUGGUCACGAUAUCACCAUUAUUGGUUUUCUCACGAUACUAUAUAAGAAAGUCUUCUUCAUCCGUGAUCCGUACGGAAUAGUUUAAAAAAUAAUGAAAACCCUGAAGGGGUCAGGAAGCAGACAGGUUUAUUGUACUUUUGACAAACUCUCGUUAUGCAAAUUGUCAUUGUUGAUUGUGCGACAUCACGGAAUGAAGACGUGUCACGAAAAUGCACAAAUUUUACAUCCAAACACUGGCAUACAUAGAUAUUAUAUGAUGGCCUAAUUAUCGAUUACGGAUAAAAGAAUGAUUUAAUAUUAUUUUCCCAAGGAAGUACGUGUAAUCACGACAGGAAACGUGUAGAAAAACAGUGGGGUGCGCAAAGAGUGAUAACUAUGUUAGAAUUCAACGAAUAAAGCAUUAAACAAUCAGUA
rnacentral:lncRNA from 1 species